UCUUGUUCAUCGGGAGCUUGUCCCAUCGCUGCUAGUCCCCUCCUUCCUCGGGAUCCCUAUCCCACUAACCACCAUGGUCGAGCUCCUCCACCUUUAUUCUGGAUGCGUCCGCGCCUCUCAGACGACUGUGUGCCUUCCAUGCGCCUGAGCAGCAGCAGCCCAGGACCCGUGCCGCCCUGCUCCCUCCAUAUGUCUUUCUCCCUAUCCAUGUUUAUGUAUCUCUGUCACGCUCAUCUCUCUCUGUUCGCUCAAUCAGGAACCUGCAGGAUAUGUCAUGGAAGCCCUCGCCCCCAGCCCACCACUGCCAUGGAUAGGAGGUCCGUGAUGUUGCAGCCAUGGAGCCGACAAGAGGAACUGCGAUCGUCGUUGCGCGCCAUGGACGGCUGCAAUCAAAGUGCCAAGUCCUCCAAUACGGCCUCUAAUUGCUCGCCCCUUCGGCCUGGAUCCGAGGAUCCCUUCAUUUCCCAGCCUCGCUGGAGACCGCGUCCCCACCCGCAACUCCCGUCGCUCAGAGUCUUUGCCUGCACCAACACCGGUGAGAUCCCCUUGUGUUUGUUCUAAAUCAAGGCUUUGCCUUUGAUUUGGUUCGAAGCCGCUCAUAGUCGUGCCACAAGUACCACAACGGCGCAUUGGCAAGUGCCUUGCAACUCCACCCGAGAGGUCCUAGGUUCAAUUCCCACGUGCCCUCAUUUUAGUGUGUUGGCUGUUCCAAUAUGCCUUGGCCUCACUGCCAUGUUAACUGGUCCACAUUAACCUGAUGACCAGCAUUACGGCCUCACUGUAGCUAGCCCAGCCUCUGCCUAUUGUUGGUAGUUUUCUUUUGUCAAAUUAAAUGCGUAUUUACACGUCAGCCAUGUUUUAGAAUGCUAAUAACUGAAUAACCGUGCGUCGGAUUAAAA